GGUCUAUUAGUCUAGUUGGUUAGGACGUCGGAUUCUGAUGACCUCAGAACCUUCCGUAGGCCCAGGUUCGAAUCCUGGAUGGACCU
rnacentral:tRNA from 1 species